rnacentral:tRNA from 3 species
UGUCGGUGUAGAGCAGCCCGGUAGCUCGCUUGGCUCAUAACCAAGAGGCCGCAGGUUCAAAUCCUGCCACCGCAACCA